rnacentral:rRNA from 1 species
UACGUAGGUGGCAAGCGUUGUCCGGAUUUAUUGGGCGUAAAGCGCGCGCAGGCGGUCUCUUAAGUCUGAUGUGAAAGCCCACGGCUCAACCGUGGAGGGUCAUUGGAAACUGGGGGACUUGAGUACAGAAGAGGAAAGCGGAAUUCCACGUGUAGCGGUGAAAUGCGUAGAGAUGUGGAGGAACACCAGUGGCGAAGGCGGCUUUCUGGUCUGUAACUGACGCUGAGGCGCGAAAGCGUGGGGGAGCAAACAGG